rnacentral:rRNA from 1 species
UACGGGGGGAGCAAGCGUUGUUCGGAUUUACUGGGCGUAAAGGGCGGGUAGGCGGCCAGGUAGGUCUGCUGUGAAAACUCGAGGCUUAACCUCGAGAUGUCGGCGGAAACCAUCUGGCUAGAGUCCGGAAGAGGAGAAUGGAAUUCCCGGUGUAGCGGUGAAAUGCGCAGAUAUCGGGAAGAACACCCGUGGCGAAGGCGGUUCUCUGGGACGGUACUGACGCUGAGACGCGAAAGCGUGGGGAGCGAACAGG